AUACGUAGGUGGCGAGCGUUGUCCGGAAUUACUGGGCGUAAAGGAUGCGUAGGCGGCCUCUUAAGUGGGAUGUGAAAUGCCGGGGCUUAACCCCGGAACUGCAUUCCAUACUUGGAGGCUAGAGUGCAGGAGAGGAAAGUGGAAUUCCCAGUGUAGCGGUGAAAUGCGUAGAGAUUGGGAGGAACACCAGUGGCGAAGGCGGCUUUCUGGACUGUAACUGACGCUGAGGCAUGAAAGUGUGGGGAGCAAACAGGAUUAGAUACCCUGGUAGUCCACACCGCAAACGAUGGGCACUAGGUGUAGGGGGCGUAGCCCUCUGUGCCGCAGUUAACACAUUAAGUGCCCCGCCUGGGGAGUACGAUCGCAAGAUUAAA
rnacentral:rRNA from 1 species